UACGGGGGGAGCAAGCGUUGUUCGGAUUUACUGGGCGUAAAGGGCGCGUAGGCGGCCAGUGCAAGUCAGUUGUGAAAUCUCCGAGCUUAACUCGGAAAGGUCAACUGAUACUGCUCGGCUAGAGUGCGGAAGGGGCAACUGGAAUUCUUGGUGUAGCGGUGAAAUGCGUAGAUAUCAAGAGGAACACCUGCGGCGAAGGCGGGUUGCUGGGCCGACACUGACGCUGAAGCGCGAAAGCUGGGGGAGCAAACGGG
rnacentral:rRNA from 1 species